CGCUGGCGGCGCACAUAAGACAUGCAAGUCGAACGGAAGCCGUUUUACUGGAAAAUGAAGAUUUAUCGGAGUAGAAAGUAAAACAAUGACUUUAGUGGCGGACUGGUGAGUAACGCGUGAGCAACCUGCCUAUUAGAGGGGAAUAACAGUGAGAAAUCACUGCUAAUACCGCAUAAGCUAGUAAUGCUGCAUGGCAUAGCUAGAGAAGGAGCAAUCCGCUAAUAGAUGGUCUCGCGUCUGAUUAGCUAGUUGGUGAGGUAACGGCUCACCAAGGCGACGAUCAGUAGCCGGUCUGAGAGGAUGAACGGCCACAUUGGGACUGAGAUACGGCCCAGACUCCUACGGGAGGCAGCAGGUGGGGAAUAUUGGGCAAUGGGCGAAAGCCUGACCCAGCAACGCCGCGUGAAGGAAGAAGGCCUUCGGGUUGUAAACUUCUUUACCAGGGACGAAGAACGUGACGGUACCUGGAGAAAAAGCAACGGCUAACUACGUG
rnacentral:rRNA from 1 species